GGGGAUGUAGCUCAAAUGGUAGAGUUCUUGCUUUGCAUGUGAGAUGCAUAGGGAUUAAUUCCUAGCAUAUCUA
rnacentral:tRNA from 1 species